rnacentral:rRNA from 1 species
AACGAACGCUGGCGGCAGGCCUAACACAUGCAAGUCGAGCGAGGUAGCAAUACCUAGCGGCGGACGGGUGAGUAACGCGUGGGAACGUACCCUUUGCUACGGAAUAGCCCCGGGAAACUGGGAGUAAUACCGUAUGUGCCCUUCGGGGGAAAGAUUUAUCGGCAAAGGAUCGGCCCGCGUUGGAUUAGGUAGUUGGUGGGGUAAUGGCCUACCAAGCCGACGAUCCAUAGCUGGUUUGAGAGGAUGAUCAGCCACACUGGGACUGAGACACGGCCCAGACUCCUACGGGAGGCAGCAGUGGGGAAUUUUGGACAAUAGGCGCAAGCCUGAUCCAGCCAUGCCGCGUGCGGGACGAAGGCCUCGGGUUGUAAACCGCUUUCUAGCCGGAAGAAAUACGCCAAGGCUAAUAUCCUU